AUGAGAGAUUCUGAAGAGGAAGAGGAAGAAGAGGUUGCUGCACCAGCACCUAAGGCCCAGAAGCUUAUGGGUGAUGCUAUCAGGAUAGGGGCUGCUUCAUCAAAGCCCAAAGAAGCACCCAAAGCAACCUCCAAGCCCAAGAGUGCACCUAAGAGGAAUACCAGGAGUAUACCAGCUGCUGAGAAGAACAAGGCCCCAGUGCCUGAAGUUGCUGCUGAUGAAGAUGAUGAAGGACAAGUCCUGAGAAAGCUCAAACCCAAGAUUCCAGACCACAAUGAUGCUCAUCCUGUGGCUGAGAACAUGAAGAUCAGGAGAGACUCGGGGUUGAGGUUAUGGAGAGAGACAGAUCCAUAUGCUACCAGGAUAAGGACUACUGUUGAUUACAGGUUCCACACAAAGGAACAACAGGACUUCUAUGAGACAGUGUUGUUGGACAAGAAGCCUAUAGUGUGUGAAAUGAGGUGGGUUGACUGGAAGUAUAUCAAGGAAAAUGAGGAACACUAUCCUGGUGUGUUUGACAGCUUCAGUGCUUGUGGAGUUGCAGACUUUGUUGGGCAGAAGCUCACAAAGUGGAAUGAGGAGCUCAUAAUGCAAUUCUACUCCACAGCACACUUCUAUCCAGAUGGCAGGAUAGUAUGGAUGUCUGAAGGUAUAAGGUACAACUCAACUAUCGAGGAAUGGGCAAAUCUGAUCAAUGCUCCUAAGGAAGAAGAAGAUGACUUGGAUGUCUAUGCCAAGAAGAAGAUGGAUCACAACUCUAUGGCAAACAUGUACAAGGAGAUUCCUGAAGAUGAUCUUGAGACUCACCAGUUUGGGUCAGUAAAACACUUGCUGUCAGGGCUGCCUACAAUCAAUUGGAUCCUUAGGCACACUCUCUUGCCCAAGUCUGGUGAUCAUAGAAUGAUCAGAGGCCAUGCAAUUAACUUGCUACAUAUAUUUGAUGUGCCACAUAAGUUCAAGGUCAUGAGCCUUAUAGUUGAGACUAUCAAGAGGAUUGCAGCUGACCAGAAAAGAAGUUGUGGAUAUGCCCCACAAAUCCAGAAGUUGAUAAACUCAAAGAUGGGCACAGGCACAUACCUGUUGGAUAAGGAACACUUGCCUAUCUACCCAGACUUCAAGGACAAUCAAGUUGUGAUGAAUGAGAAUGAACCAUCAUCAGUACAAGCUCAAGAGAAGAAGGAGAAAGCAAAGAAAGAGAAGGCUGCCAAGAUGCCAACUCAAGAGGAGGCAUUUGAGUACUUUUUGAAAAGCAAGAAAGAUCAGCUUGGCUACCUGAUUGCAUCCACUCUGAGGAUUGAGAAGGGACUGGCCACCCUGACUCAAAACCAGGAGAGCUUGGAAAGAAUCGUGGAGCAAAAAUUCUAUGACUUGGAUGUUAAGGUAACUUAG
rnacentral:rRNA from 1 species